AGUGCCGGAUGGAAGGUGGCUGGCCUGGCAGAGGUUUUGGGAGUUUUCAAUUAGGGAUUUGAAGUUGAAGGUUAGGUUUUUUUUUUUUCUAUCGUUUGUUCACUGUUGAGUUUAGACUUUUAGACUUAAGUUUUAGUUUUAGUUUUAGAAUUUUAUUUUUAUUUAUUAAAUUAUUUGUAAUUUUUAUGAUUGGGUUGGGUUGGGUAAUUGGGUUGGGUUGGAUACUUGGGUUUGGAUUGGG
rnacentral:lncRNA from 1 species